AACGUACGCUGGCGGCACGCCUAACACAUGCAAGUCGAACGAAGUAGCAAUACUUAGUGGCAGACGGGUGAGUAACAUGUAGGUAUCUGCCCUUUGGCCUGGAAUAACACGAGGAAACUUGUGCUAAUACCGGAUAAGUCUUUACGGAGAAAGCUUUACGCACCAUUGGAUGAGCCUGCACUUGAUUAGUUUGUUGGUGGGGUAAUGGCCUACCAAGACUGUGAUCAAUAGCUGAUUUGAGAGGAUGAUCAGCCACAUUGGGACUGAGACACGGCCCAAACUCCUACGGGAGGCAGCAGUGGGGAAUCUUGCACAAUGGAGGAAACUCUGAUGCAGCGAUGCCGCGUGAGUGAAGAAGGCCCUUGGGUUGUAAAGCUCUUUCGUCGGGGAAGAAAAUGACUGUACCCGAAUAAGAAGGUCCGGCUAACUUCGUGCCAGCAGCCGCGGUAAUACGAAGGGACCUAGCGUAGUUCGGAAUUACUGGGCUUAAAGAGUUCGUAGGUGGUUGAAAAAGUUAGUGGUGAAAUCCCAGAGCUUAACUCUGGAACUGCCAUUAAAACUUUUCAGCUAGAGUAUGAUAGAGGAAAGCAGAAUUUCUAGUGUAGAGGUGAAAUUCGUAGAUAUUAGAAAGAAUACCAAUUGCGAAGGCAGCUUUCUGGAUCAUUACUGACACUGAGGAACGAAAGCAUGGGUAGCGAAGAGGAUUAGAUACCCUCGUAGUCCAUGCCGUAAACGAUGUGUGUUAGACGUUGGAAAUUUAUUUUCAGUGUCGCAGGGAAACCGAUAAACACACCGCCUGGGGAGUACGACCGCAAGGUUAAAACUCAAUGAAUUUGACGGGGACCCGC
rnacentral:rRNA from 1 species